rnacentral:rRNA from 1 species
AUGAACGCUAGCGGCGUGCCUAAUACAUGCAAGUCGAGCGAACAGACGAGGAGCUUGCUCCUCUGACGUUAGCGGCGGACGGGUGAGUAACACGUGGAUAACCUACCUAUAAGACUGGGAUAACUUCGGGAAACCGGAGCUAAUACCGGAUAAUAUAUUGAACCGCAUGGUUCAAUAGUGAAAGACGGUUUUGCUGUCACUUAUAGAUGGAUCCGCGCCGCAUUAGCUAGUUGGUAAGGUAACGGCUUACCAAGGCGACGAUGCGUAGCCGACCUGAGAGGGUGAUCGGCCACACUGGAACUGAGACACGGUCCAGACUCCUACGGGAGGCAGCAGUAGGGAAUCUUCCGCAAUGGGCGAAAGCCUGACGGAGCAACGCCGCGUGAGUGAUGAAGGUCUUCGGAUCGUAAAACUCUGUUAUUAGGGAAGAACAAAUGUGUAAGUAACUAUGCACGUCUUGACGGUACCUAAUCAGAAAGCCACGGCUAACUACGUG